UCCAGACUCCUACGGGAGGCAGCAGUGGGGAAUAUUGGGCAAUGGGCGCAAGCCUGACCCAGCAACGCCGCGUGAAGGAAGAAGGCUUUCGGGUUGUAAACUUCUUUUCUUGGGGACGAAGAAAGUGACGGUACCCAAGGAAUAAGCCACGGCUAACUACGUGCCAGCAGCCGCGGUAAUACGUAGGUGGCAAGCGUUAUCCGGAUUUAUUGGGUGUAAAGGGCGUGUAGGCGGGAAUGCAAGUCAGAUGUGAAAACUAUGGGCUCAACCCAUAGCCUGCAUUUGAAACUGUAUUUCUUGAGUGCUGGAGAGGCAAUCGGAAUUCCGUGUGUAGCGGUGAAAUGCGUAGAUAUCAGGAGGAACACCGGUGGCGAAGGCGGCCUGCUGGACAGUAACUGACGUUGAGGCUCGAAAGCGUGGGGAGCAAACAGGAUUAGAUACCCGUGUAGA
rnacentral:rRNA from 1 species